GUGGACUUAGUUUAAAAGAUAAAACAAUUGAUUUGCAAUCAGUAACUCCAAGUUUAACUCUCGGAGUCCACA
rnacentral:tRNA from 11 species